UACGUAGGGUGCGAGCGUUUGUCCGGAAUUAUUGGGCGUAAAGAGCUUGUAGGCGGUUUGUCGCGUCUGCUGUGAAAAUCCGGGGCUCAACCCCGGACUUGCAGUGGGUACGGGCAGACUAGAGUGUGGUAGGGGGAGACUGGAAUUCCUGGUGUAGCGGUGAAAUGCGCAGAUAUCAGGAGGAACACCGAUGGCGAAGGCAGGUCUCUGGGCCGCAACUGACGCUGGAGGAAGCGAAAGCAUGGGGAGCGAACAGG
rnacentral:rRNA from 1 species